UACGUAGGGUGCAAGCGUUGUCCGGAAUUAUUGGGCGUAAAGAGCUCGUAGGCGGUUUGUCGCGUCUGGUGUGAAAACUCAAGGCUCAACCUUGAGCUUGCAUCGGGUACGGGCAGACUAGAGUGUGAUAGGGGUGACUGGAAUUCCUGGUGUAGCGGUGGAAUGCGCAGAUAUCAGGAGGAACACCGAUGGCGAAGGCAGAUCUCUGGGCCGUAACUGACGCUGAGGAGCGAAAGCAUGGGGAGCGAACAGG
rnacentral:rRNA from 1 species